UGGGUUUGGCACCCCACCCUUUAGGCUACGCGCCCCAGCAUUUUUUUUUUAUUCCAAAACUACCCAUCGGUAAAUGAUUUGCCGAUGUCAAAAUACCAAUCGGUAAAUCAUUUACCGUUAUUGUUCCUCAGUAUGAACACCUUCAUCCCAUUACCCAGAACACGAAGAACAAUAUCGGUUAAUAAUUAACCGAUUCUAAUAUUGUAUCGGUAUAUCAUUUACCGAUUUGUAAUCUGGAAGUUUGAUCACCUUUUCACCAUUACUCCUCCCUCCACCAACCCCUCCACCAUUACUCCUCCCUCCAACAACCCCCCACCAGCCCCCCAUAACUCGCCCAAACUACCUUAUUCUCCAUUACUCCACUCCUCCCUCACAUUUCACCUUCCCACCACCACCACCAUCUCCACAUUUCCACCACCACCACCACCAACACCACCACCACCAAGGGAAAGCUUUUAACUUCUGGGAUGACAGAGUCAUUUUUCUUUGGUGAAUCACAAUUGAUACAUGCUGCUGGAUUGGAAAAUGAUAAUCCAGAGGAGCAACCAUCACUAGCUGAACCUCCGAUUAUAUCUAUAGAUGUCUCUCAUUUGUAUCAUACUGAUCAGGUACUCAUUGCACAAAUUUUUGCAUGCUUUGUUUGCUUUGUUUAUGCCUUGUUUUAUGCCUUAUGCCUUGUUUAUCCUGAAACAGCGUUUCCCUUUGAAAGAUGAUCUUAUGAAAUGGGUUCGCGACAUUUCUAUGGCAAAUAAUUUUGUUUUGGUGACAACAAAGUCUGAUAGUGGUGCGAAGGGAAGAAAAGAAUAUGUCAUUCUGGGGUGUGAGAAGCAUGGUGCGUAUAUUCCCUACAGAGAACCGGAUCUUGUUGAAGGAACGUCAACACAAAAGACAGGUUGUCCUUUUAGGCUAAAAGGACGACGUACGAAAGAUGAUAAAGGUUGGUGGUUGAAGGUGAUGGACGGUAGACUAAAAAAAUAGAUGGAGGAAAACUAAAAAAAACUGGCUUAAAAAAACUGGCUUAAAAAAACUGCCUUAAACUGCCUUAAACUGGUUUAGAAUCGGGAAAUGUUUUCCCAUUACAGAAUCGGAAAAACAUUUUCCAUUACAGAAUCGGAAAAUGUUUUUCCGAUUUUACAGUAACCCAGAAACCAGAACUGGAAACGACCCACUCGUGCCCAUGACCGUUUCAUGCCAUUUCAGUCAAUAAAACCUACCUCUAAUCAAUAAUCAACUACCCUAGUGUUCAACAUUCACCUAAUAAUCCAUCAACUACCUCUAAUCAUCAAUCAAUGUGAGAGAAUCAAUAAAAAUGGAACUUACCUUUUGAAUGUAUUGGAAUGGGAGUUCCGGAGCUUUGAGGAAGCUUUGAUGAUGAUGGGACCGAACGCAAGUUUGGGAGAGAUUUGAAGAGGGAGUGAUUUGGGGAGGGAAAUGAGUUUUGAAAAUUAUGUUCCAAAACCUAUCUGAUGCUGUUAUAUCAAUACGAAUCGGUAAAUGAUAAACCGAUACGUAUCGGAAAAUCAUUUACCGAUAUUAAUCCUGAGGGUUUCCGGUAAUUUCCCCACUUUAAGUGGGGCGGGAAGCCUAAGGGCUGGGGUGUUAAACCCAAUUCCCCCCCCCAAACACAGUACCCACCAUUUCAUCCUCUCCACUGUCGAAGCGCUGCUUCCUCUCCACCCUCGACGUCGACGACAUCUCUCCGUUCCUCGCCGUCAACAUCUCCUUGUGCGUGCCUUCUUCUCAAACCGUGACACAAACCUUCCUUGUGUUGCGAUUUGGAGAGAAAUCUCGUAUCAUCCUCUCAAACCCUUGUUCGAGUUCGACAGCUCUUCCUUGGAUUCCAAAAACGAGUUUGUUCAAAGCCUAAUUUUGAAGCUGCAAGUGUUGAUCUGAAUCCUUGUUUCGCUUAAGCAACAAAAGAAUUCAGCAGUACCGCGUGAUAAGCAGUGCAUCAACUUGGCUGUAGCCUCGUUUCUUUGUUCUCGUGGCUGGACUUGGAGCUUCUAUAUUACAUUGAGCAAAAAAUCGAAGCUGAAACAGAGUUAGGGACUUUAACCUAACCCUCAAUCACUCUAGGGGGCAUUUGGUAGAAGGGAUCUUUAAAGAUUCCCGGGUAAGUUAGGUUGGGAAUGUAACAUUCUCAUGUUUGGUACAAGUUUCAGAAAAAAUAUUCCCGGGUAUUGUGGAUUCCCAGGCAUGUAAUUUACAUUGAUUUUCUCCAAACUUCAUUCCCAUGUUCAAGGAUGGGUAUCUUGCAUUCCCAUGGGAAUGUAAGUUAUUUCCCACUAACUUUUAUUUUUACUUCAAAUUUUAUAUUUUUAAAUAUUUUAAUUAAAUAAAUUUUAAAAACAUACCUGGGAAUUGAAUUUAUCAACCAAACACUUUUUUAAAAGAUGCCUGGGAAUAACAUUCACAUCAUAAUAUCCCUGGGAAUCCACUUACUCGGACACUUUAUGAAACCCCCACACACAAACGUAACAGUACUCCACCGUUUCAUAUUCUCUCAAAUCGACGAAGUUGUCUGCGCCUCUCUGUUCCUCACCGUUGACGAACCUUCGUGCGCGCCGUCCUCGCAAACCCUCACGCAAACCUUUUAAGUGCCGUCGAUCAUGGGCGAAAUCUUGUUUCAUCCUCGCAAACCCUUCUUCGAGUUUGACUACGCAUCCCUGGACUCCAGAAACGGGUUCAUUCCAAGCCUAAUUUUGAAGGUUUGUAUUUGGGCUCUUUCCAGUUUUAUAUUGAUAUGUGCUAUGCCUCGAUGCAAAUUUACAAUCGCUUGUGAAUUCUGUUGUUUAAGGAAUGUGAGUUACAUUGUUAUUUGUCAUUUGGGCUUAGAUAAAGAAUGAAUGUCUGGCAGAAUCUCUCGCCCUGGUAGAGGGAAUGAUCCUACUUUGUUGUACUGCUCACUGACCUCAGUCUCUUUUUGCUUUUGUUUUCUAAUUUGGUUAAGCCCUCUUUGAAAUGGCUCAUGGGCGGGUUUGGGGUUGGUGGUUUGGGGAACAUGCAGCAACCUACGCUUGCCGACUCUGAAAGUGCCAAUUACAACCAGAACACCUCUGCCUGGAAUGUUUCCUUGUUUCUCAAAAUUGAAUUUGAUCCAUAUUGGUUCAUAUUGUUUUUUGGAUGUCUGAUUAUUUAUUUGAAGUAAUGAAUGUCUACCAUCUUGAUCACUGAAGGAAAACUAAUCUGGUGUUUGAACUCUGGUUGUUUUGUGUAUUCUUUCCUCUAAUUUUUGGGAGCUAUAGA